AGCGAUACUAGGUACUAGGCUAUCAUGGAACGACGUGGACGCAUCCCAGUGGCCAAGUUUCGUACGCAGGAGGCCAAGACACGCAGUCGAAGUCGCGUGAAGGAGCCGGAUUACAAUGAACAGGAUCCGGAACAUGAUAUGUUUACACUGCUGGAGGAUAACAUUGCGCUAAAGGAAGAGAACAAAGCGCUCAAACUUGAAAUUGAAUCGCACAAAACCACGCAGGAGGAGCAGCAGGCGCAACACGAAAAACUAUGUGGUCAAUUGGAGCUGCUGCAGCAGCAGCAAGCCAAAUUCGAGUCAGACAUCAAGGACCUCACUGUCAAGUUCAAUAAAACACUCAACGAGCGCAAUGCGCUCGACAAGCUGCACAAGAUGAAGGUCGAUCAAAUAAACAAUCUCUCUACCGAAUUGGAUCACAUGCGCGAAAAGCAAGUGGGACACCAGGGUGGUGCCUCAGUGGUCGGCUCAGUGGAGCUAAGGCGCAAGCUGUUGAAGAUCCUGCAACAGGAUAGCGGUGACGUUGCUAACGACUUGGACAGUCUGGUCGAUGUUGAUGCAAACCAGGAUGUGCCCAUUACCAAUGGUCAGGUAGAGCGUCUAGUGUCCGAAUUCUUAACGCUCAAACAUGCCACCAACGCCGUAGAGCUGCAGCUAUAUGAAGCCAAUGAGAAGAUAGCAGAACUAGUGGAGCACCAACACCUACUCGAGGAGGAGAACGAUACGCUGCGCACCGAGAACGGAAAUUUGACCAAAGUGGCCAAACUCUUGACCGACAACAUGAAGGAGAGCGUGGAGACGAGUCAAAAAAUGGAGGCCGCCUUGAUUAGAUUGAAACAGCGAAAUGAUGAACUAACUGCUAAGAUGCACGAUAUUCCCGAUGGACAGCCGGGGGCAACACCUUCGCCUACAUCGUUGCAGUCGCAGGUCGAGUUCGAGCAGAUCACGGACCAGGUGCAACAUCAGGCGCGCGAGCACAACGAACGUAUCGUGGAAAUGCAAACACGUAGCGUGUUUGACAUAUUCAAGCCGUUGUCGAGCAUAUUCAAGAGCAACUGAUUUUUGGCACAACGAUAUUUAAUUUUACCAACACAUAAUAAUAUUAAAUAUAAUAAUACAACAUUUGCAUGGAAUGUUUCCAACUGGGUUUAAGUUGUUACCUUCCGAGUUCUUGGUGAUGGAGUCCGAGCAAAACGUCUUGACGCUAUAGUGCGCGAAUUCAAAUCUGGACGUGUGACGCUGCGCCGCAAUCGUCGAAAAACCAAAACGAGCGAAGCUCUGAA
rnacentral:misc_RNA from 1 species